rnacentral:rRNA from 1 species
CUUGGCGGCCAUAGCGAUUGUGAACCACCCGAUUCCAUCUCGAACUCGGAAGUGAAACCAUUUAGCGCCAAUGAUAGUGUGGGGCUUCCCCAUGUGAAAGUAGGACACUGCCAAGA